UACGGAGGGUGCGAGCGUUGUCCGGAAUCACUGGGCGUAAAGGGCGCGUAGGCGGCUCAUGAAGGCUGUGGUGAAAGUCCGGGGCUCAACCUCGGAUCGGCCGUGGCGACUCGUGGGCUUGAGCACUGUAGAGGCAGGCGGAAUUCCGGGUGUAGCGGUGGAAUGCGUAGAGAUCCGGAAGAACACCGGUGGCGAAGGCGGCCUGCUGGGCAGUUUGCUGACACUGAGGCGCGACAGCGUGGGAGCAAACAGGAUUGAG
rnacentral:rRNA from 1 species